GAUCCUGGCUCAGGAUGAACGCUGGCGGCGUGCCUAACACAUGCAAGUUGAACGAAGCACUUACGACGGAAUCCUCCGGGAGGAAGAUGUAAGCGACUUAGUGGCGGACGGGUGAGUAACGCGUGGGUAACCUGCCCUGUACAGGGGGACAACAGCCGGAAACAGCUGCUAAUACCCCAUAAGCGCACGGUAUCGCAUGAUACAGUGUGAAAAGCCGAGACGGUACAGGAUGGACCCGCGU
rnacentral:rRNA from 1 species